GGAUUGUACGUCUCUAUUCUAAGUCCUAAAAGGGUGCAAAACAAAACAUGUGUGGACAAAUUUGAUAUAUAUAAAUAGUACAAAAGCAGUUAUUCACAAUGUAUUAACCCCCAAGUUUAGAAAACUUGUAUAGCAUAAUAAGUAAUAGGUUUUUCCGAAAACCCUAGCAUGCCAUAAUACCUUUCAUAAAACAUAUAUCAUAUAUAGUGUACUUAGUAGUGGUAAAUAUACAAAGGCAUAUACAUAUAUAUAAUAUUUCAUUCGCCCGAAUGCAUAUAUAACACUUCUACAUUCAUCUGAAGGUUCUACAUCACGCGCCCGUAGGCAGAUUAUUCGCCUGUAGGCAGUAUCAACUGCCCGGAGGCACUACAUCUCCCGGCUGAAGUCAAUAUAAAUAUCUUCUGGUCAAACGGUCAAAGUCAAAGUCAACGGUCAACAGGUUGGUCAAACGGGUCUGGGUCAAAUGGGUUGGGUUGGAUCCAGUUAGGGUUAGGUUAAUAGGUUAAGGCCUAGGCUAAUGGGUUGUUAUGCCCAAAGGUUUAGGCUUAGGCUAAAAGGGUUUUGAGUUUCUGGGUUCUAAUUUAAAAUGGGUUAGGCUUGGAUUUGGGUUGGUUACUUGGCCCAAAGGUUUAGGCCGGUUCAUUGGGUUGGCCUAGCAACUAGGUUGGGCUCCUAAUUGGGCUGUGGGUUGUAAUGGCCCAAUUGUUUGGCGGGUCGCUGGAACCAUGAAGGAGAAGGCCGGAGAAGUCGUUGAGAAUUCUCAAGCUCCGAUGGAGCUCAAAACAUAACCAUUUUUAGCAUAUAAAUUUAUCAAAAUGAAGCUAAGUAGAAGGAGAAUGAAGAUUUACCAACACGAGGGCAAGCCGUGGUCGAAAAGCAGCUGGAAAACCUUUGUAACUCGUGGCCCAGUCAUCGGGAAACUAGGAAAUG
rnacentral:lncRNA from 1 species